ensembl:snoRNA
UUCCAAAGUGUUGAGUUCAGUUCAGGGCAGCUUCCCUGUUCUGUUAAUUAAACUUUGGGACAUUGAAAUGGGCUAGGGGAGGUGACUGGAUAGAAAGUAUUAUUCUGUUCAUUUACCUCCCAGCCUACAAAA